rnacentral:rRNA from 1 species
AACGAACGCUGGCGGCAUGCCUAACACAUGCAAGUCGAACGAGACCUUCGGGUCUAGUGGCGCACGGGUGCGUAACGCGUGGGAAUCUGCCCUUGGGUUCGGAAUAACAGUUGGAAACGACUGCUAAUACCGGAUGAUGACGUAAGUCCAAAGAUUUAUCGCCCAAGGAUGAGCCCGCGUAGGAUUAGCUAGUUGGUGAGGUAAAGGCUCACCAAGGCGACGAUCCUUAGCUGGUCUGAGAGGAUGAUCAGCCACACUGGGACUGAGACACGGCCCAGACACCUACGGGAGGCAGCAGUGGGGAAUAUUGGACAAUGGGCGAAAGCCUGAUCCAGCAAUGCCGCGUGAGUGAUGAAGGCCUUAGGGUUGUAAAGCUCUUUUACCCGGGAUGAUAAUGACAGUACCGGGAGAAUAAGCGCCGGCUAACUCCGUG